rnacentral:rRNA from 1 species
UGCAGUCGAGCGGUAAGCAGUCUUCGGACUGCCUAGAGCGGCGAACGGGUGAGUAACACGUAGAUGAUCUACCUUGAGGUUGGGGAUAGCCUGUGGAAACACAGGGUAAUACCGGAUGAGCCCUAUGGGGGAAAGGUGCUAAGGCACCGCCUUAAGAUGAGUCUGCGGCUCAUUAGUUAGUUGGUGGGGUAAAGGCCUACCAAGGCGACGAUGAGUAGCCGGCCUGAGAGGGUGGACGGCCACACUGGGACUGAGACACGGCCCAGACUCCUACGGGAGGCAGCAGCUAAGAAUCUUCCGCAAUGGGCGCAAGCCUGACGGAGCGACGCCGCGUGAACGAAGAAGGCCGUGAGGUUGUAAAGUUCUUUUCUUACUGAAGAAUAAUUACUGCAGGGAAUGGCAGUGAGAUGACGUUAGGUAAGGAAUAAGCCCCGGCUAAUUACGUGCCAGCAGCCGCGGUAACACGUAAGGGGCGAGCGUUGUUCGGAAUUAUUGGGCGUAAAGGGCGUGUAGGCGGUUUUGCAAGUCUGGUGUGAAAGACCGCAGCUUAACUGCGGGGGCGCGCUAGAAACUGUGAGACUAGAGUACAGGAGGGGGACCUGGAAUUCCUGGUGUAGGGGUGAAAUCUGUAGAUAUCAGGAAGAACACCGGUGGCGAAGGCGAGGUCCUGGCCAUGUACUGACGCUGAGGCGCGAAAGCGUGGGGAGCGAACAGGAUUAGAUACCCUGGUAGUCCACGCCGUAAACGAUGUGCACUAGGUUCUUGGGGGUAGCCCUGGGA